GACGAACGCUGGCGGCGUGCUUAACACAUGCAAGUCGAACGAAGAGCGAUGGAAGCUUGCUUCUAUCAAUCUUAGUGGCGAACGGGUGAGUAACGCGUAAUCAACCUGCCCUUCAGAGGGGGACAACAGUUGGAAACGACUGCUAAUACCGCAUACGAUCUAAUCUCGGCAUCGAGGAUAGAUGAAAGGUGGCCUCUACAUGUAAGCUAUCACUGAAGGAGGGGAUUGUGUCUGAUUAGCUAGUUGGAGGGGUAACGGCCCACCAAGGCGAUGAUCAGGAGCCGGUCGGAGAGGAUGAACGGCCACAUUGGGACUGAGACACGGCCCAGACUCCUACGGGAGGCAGCAGUGGGGAAUCUUCCGCAAUGGACGAAAGUCUGACGGAGCAACGCCGCGUGAGUGAUGACGGCCGUCGGGUUGUAAAGCUCUGUUAAUCGGGACGAAAGGCCUUCUUGCGAAUAGUGAGAAGGAUUGACGGUACCGGAAUAGAAAGCCACGGCUAACUACGUG
rnacentral:rRNA from 1 species